CUGCUUGGCUCCUGCUCACAGGCACCCUGAGCUGGUAAACCUCCCAGUCUUGCCUCGACACUGCAGUGGGUAUGAGGCUUCUCUGCUGGGUGACCCUCAGUCUCCUGGGGGCAGGCCACACAGGUGCUGGAGUCUCCCAGUCCCCCAGGCACAGGGUCACAGGGAGUGGACAGGCUGUGGAGCUCAGGAAUGAAGGAUCUAACUCCACUCUGAAGAUCCAGCCUGCAAAGCGGGAAGACUCGGCCGUGUAUCUCUGCGCCAGCAGCAAAAAAAGGGACAGGGAAUGGGACAAUCAGCCACUGCACUUUGGAGACGGGACUCGGCUCACUGUCCUAGACGACCUGAGAAAGGUGAAACCCCCCAAGGUCACCGUGUUUGAACCAUCAGAAGCAGAGAUUGCGCGGACCCAGAAGGCCACGCUUGUGUGCCUGGCCACAAACUUCUACCCUGACCACGUGGAGCUGAGCUGGUGGGUGAACGGAAAGGAGGUCCACAGUGGGUUCAGCACAGACCCACAACCCUACAAGGAGAAGCCUGACCGCAACGAUUCCAGUUACUGCCUGAGCAGCCGCCUGAGGGUCUCUGCCGCCUUCUGGCACAACCCCCGCAACCACUUCCGCUGCCAAGUGCAGUUCUAUGGGCUCGGGGUCGAAGAUGAGUGGGACGAGGAUUGGGCCAAACCCAUCACCCAGAACAUCAGUGCUGAGGCCUGGGGCAGAGCAAACUGUGGCUUCACCUCAGUGUCCUAUCAGCAAGGAGUCCUGUCUGCCACCAUCCUCUAUGAGAUCCUGCUGGGGAAGGCCACUGUGUAUGCCGUGCUGGUCAGCGCCCUCGUGCUGAUGGCCAGGAUCAAGAAAAAGGAUUCCUGAAGCCAGCUCUGAAGGUGGAGCCAGGAGUUUCCAGUCCUUUCAUCACUCCCACCAUGGCUUCUUUUUUUCCCCAUUCCCAGCCAGUGUUUCUAAACCAGCUGCUCUCAUUUCUCUACUCAUCCCAGGAUUUAACCCCUCUAUGCAUAUACACUCAUGGCUGGAAUUUCCCUAACCCACAAGGGACCUUAACAUGCCUGAAUCCUAAUUAGAUUAAACCAAUAAAAAUGACUUGAUUCUGA